rnacentral:lncRNA from 1 species
UUUCAUGGAAUCAACUAAUCAAAGCCACCCCAUUUUAAGCUGUAGGAACUAGUGUACCCUUGAGUCUCUCAAAUUCUAUACAUCUCUAUGGCGUGCAGUUACCAUAUCCUUUGGCUGUACAUUUCCUCACCAUCACCUGAUAAUCAGUUUCCCAGGGUCCCGACCACGCUCUAUAAAAUUCCAUAUCUAAACACAAACACUCUCU